rnacentral:rRNA from 1 species
ACGAGCGCUGGCGGCGUGCUUAACACAUGCCAGUCGAACGGAAAGGCCCUGCUUUUGUGGGGUGCUCGAGUGGCGAACGGGUGAGUAACACGUGAGUAACCUGCCCUUGACUUUGGGAUAACUUCAGGAAACUGGGGCUAAUACCGGAUAGGAGCUCCUGCUGCAUGGUGGGGGUUGGAAAGUUUCGGCGGUUGGGGAUGGACUCGCGGCUUAUCAGCUUGUUGGUGGGGUAGUGGCUUACCAAGGCUUUGACGGGUAGCCGGCCUGAGAGGGUGACCGGCCACAUUGGGACUGAGAUACGGCCCAGACUCCUACGGGAGGCAGCAGUGGGGAAUAUUGCACAAUGGGCGGAAGCCUGAUGCAGCAACGCCGCGUGCGGGAUGACGGCCUUCGGGUUGUAAACCGCUUUCGCCUGUGACGAAGCGUGAGUGACGGUAAUGGGUAAAGAAGCACCGGCUAACUACGUG